CGGGGAAUUUUGGACAAUGGGCGAAAGCCUGAUCCAGCAAUGCCGCGUGUGUGAAGAAGGCCUUCGGGUUGUAAAGCACUUUUGUCCGGAAAGAAAUCCUUGGCUCUAAUACAGUCGGGGGAUGACGGUACCGGAAGAAUAAGCACCGGCUAACUACGUGCCAGCAGCCGCGGUAAUACGUAGGGUGCAAGCGUUAAUCGGAAUUACUGGGCGUAAAGCGUGCGCAGGCGGUUUGCUAAGACCGAUGUGAAAUCCCCGGGCUCAACCUGGGAACUGCAUUGGUGACUGGCAGGCUAGAGUAUGGCAGAGGGGGGUAGAAUUCCACGUGUAGCAGUGAAAUGCGUAGAGAUGUGGAGGAAUACCGAUGGCGAAGGCAGCCCCCUGGGCCAAUACUGACGCUCAUGCACGAAAGCGUGGGGAGCAAACAGGAUUAGAUACCCUGGUAGUCCACGCCCUAAACGAUGUCAACUAGUUGUUGGGGAUUCAUUUCCUUAGUAACGUAGCUAACGCGUGAAGUUGACCGCCUGGGGAGUACGGUCGCAAGAUUAAAACUCAAAGGAAUUGACGGGGUCAUAGCUGUUUCCU
rnacentral:rRNA from 1 species